GAGCAUAGUCAGGCACACCACGACUGAUUACAAACAGAAAUGCUGUCCUUCUGGGAUGUGGCCAUUGAUUUCUCUCCAGAAGAGUGGGAGUGCCUGGAGCCUGUUCAGUGGAAUCUAUACAGGGACGUGAUGUUGGAGAAUUACAGCAACCUUGUGUUCCUGGGUCUAACUUUCUCUAAGCCAUUCUUGGUGACAUUCCUGGAGCAGAGACAAGGGCCUUGGGAUAUGCAGAGACAAGCAGCAGCCCCUGUGCACCCAGGAAGAGCACUCAGUGAUCCUGACUAUUACAGCAAUGCAACUCAGUGUAAAUCACUUUUUGUUAAAAAACAAAGAAUUUAUAUAGGGGGGAAACCCUACAAGUGUGAAGAAUGUGGUAAGGCCCUUAGUUCUCAUAAAACACUGUCUAUACACCAGAGACUUCAUACUGGAGACAAACCCUACAAGUGUAAAGAGUGUCACAAGUCCUUUAGUAGUCGCUCAUCACUGUUUAUACACCAGAAAAACCAUACUGAUGAAAAAAACUUCAAGUGUGAAGAAUGUGGCAGAUCAUUUUACUAUCCUUCAAUGCUGAAGCAACAUCAAAGAAUUCAUUCUGGAGAGAAACUCUACAAGUGUGGAGAAUGUGGAAAAGCAUUUUAUGAUCCUUCCUUCCUGAAGCAGCAUCAAAGAAUUUUCUGUGUAGAGAAACACUCUAAAUAUGAAGAAUGUGGCAAAGUAUUUUCUUCUGCUUUAACCCUUAACCAACAUAAAGAAAUCCAUACUGGAGAGAAACCCUUCCAGUGCGGAAAAUGUCACAAAGCCUUUCGUCAUCCCUCAGCCCUCAGGAUACAUAUGACAGUCCAUACUGGAGAGAAACCUUACAAGUGCGAAGAGUGUGGCAGAUGUUAUUUCUCAUCUUUAUCCCUUAGACGACAUCAAAUAAUUCACUCUGAAGACAACUCCAACAAGUGUGAAGAAUGUGGCAGAUGUUUUUCCUCAUCUUCUUGCCUUAGAAGACAUCAAACAAUUCAUUCUGAAGACAAGACCUAUAAGUGUGAUGAGUGUGGCAGAUAUUAUUCCUCAUCUUUUUCCCUUAGACGACAUCAAGUAAUCCAUUCUGAAGAUAAUCCCUAUAAAUGUGAAGAAUGUGACAAAAGGUUUACUUAUUCUGCAAGUCUUCAGGAACAUCAAACAAUCCAUACUGGAGAGAAACCAUACAAGUGUGAAAAUUGUCACAAAGCCUUUCGUCAUCACUCAUCCCUUAGGAAACAUAAGAUAGUCCAUACUGGAGAGAAACCUUACAAGUGUGAAGAGUGUGGCAGAUGUUUUUCCAGAUAUUCCUACCUUAGAAGACAUCAAGAAAUUCACUCUGAAGGCAAUCCACAGACGUGUGUGGAAUGUGGCAAAACCUUUCUUAAUGUUUAUCGUCUUACUCGACACAUAAAAGUUCAUACUAGAGAGAAAUCCUACUAAGGUCUUAAAAAAGUGUAUCCUUAUUCCAAAUAAUUCAUACUGAAUAAAUCUCUGUGACUGU
rnacentral:lncRNA from 1 species